GACGUAGGAGGCGAGCGUUGUCCGGAUUCAUUGGGCGUAAAGAGCACGCAGGCGGUUUGGCAAGGCGGAUGUGAAAUCCCGGAGCUCAACUCCGGACCUGCAUCCGAAACUGCCCGACUAGAGGUAGGUAGGGGAGAUCGGAAUUCCUGGUGUAGCGGUGAAAUGCGCAGAUAUCAGGAGGAACACCGGUGGCGAAGGCGGAUCUCUGGGCCUUACCUGACGCUCAGGUGCGAAAGCUAGGGGAGCGAACAGG
rnacentral:rRNA from 1 species